rnacentral:tRNA from 1 species
GGGGGUGUAGCUCAGUGGUAGAGUGUUUGGCUGCAGGUAAAGUGGUCCUUGGAUCAACUCUAAGUGCUCCCU